rnacentral:lncRNA from 1 species
CAGCUACGAAGUCGGCGCCGGCUGCGCUCGGGGGACCAGCGGGAGGGAGGCUGCGGACGAGUGCGGGGAGGAGUCUGCGCUGGGAGGCGCUUGCAGGGGCUCCCCCAGUUCUGCGCCGAGAGCCGCGGCACAAAGAGCUCUCUGCGCCCACCAGAGCCAGCGCCUUCCAUUCAUUCCCGCACUUCCGGAGCUCCAGUCGCAGACGUGCGGUGUCGUCCCGGGCGGCUAGAAGGGGCCGGAGAGGGCUGGCCGUGGUGGUGACAGCGGUGCCGGCAGCGAUACUUGGGCUUGCUGCUCCGCCUGCGUUCUUCCGGCAAGCCCACGAGCUGUGGCCUCUCCCUGCCCAUGCACGUGGUUUCUGAGACACGCGUGUGGCCGCCAUGACCCAGUGGCAGCAAAGGGCCCGGGGCUGUUUGCAGAGUACGGCGAUCCGGGGACCCAGGAGACAGAAGAGAGCGCCCAGAUUGUUCCGGACCUGCACGGUCAGCGGGAGCCACCUUGCAGAUAAGUGUGGGACUGGCCAGCCUGCAGCCCUCUGGCCCGCCCCCUGCUGGCCUGUUCAGCAAAGUGCUGGAUCCCAGGAUCAGGAAGAGGGAGGGAGGGUAAUCCGUGAGGCCCCUACUCACUUUUCUACCUCUGUGCCAGAAAGAAAGAGCUUGUCCCUGUUUUGUGGGGCGCAAGAAAAGGCGAUCGGUAUUCCGGAUUCCCGACUCGCUGUCCAGUGCUCCCUCCCAGCCGUCAGCAAGCUGCAAGUUUCUCCUGUGUUCUCUCGGGUCGCCUGUGACGUUGCUGGGGAGCGGGUGGGGGUGGUGCAGGGAGACCUGGCCUCCGCGCUCUCUGGGGAUGUUCUGGGGUGGGAGCCAGGGGAGGUGGAGAGUGGUGCGCCCCCACCCCCCGCCGGGCUCCCAGGCCACCUGCUCACCAGCAGGGAGUUCUGGCUAUGCCCAGGCUGGGGCGGGGGUUGGGGUAGGGGUGGGGGGAUGGUGAGGGCUGGAUGCUGUUUUCUCCCGAGUUGUGUUUGGUGCUUUUUUUUUUUCCUUCCAGGAUGGGGCUGUGGGGUCGACAUGGGGAAUGAGCCGGAGCCGGGCCUGGGCUGCCGAGGCACUGGCUGGAGGCUGCCAGGUGUGAUCUGGGGGUGGGGGGGAGGGGGGUCGAGAGGGAGGCUGCACUGAGCCUGGUCUGAUGGGGGCUAGAAUAGCCUCCUGCUUCGUCCCUUUCCUCGGGGGGGGGUAGGGAGGGGGCUGCAGGCUUCAGGCUUGUGUGCUCUCUGUGGUCCGUGCGGGGCAGGUGUGCUCUUGGCCAUGACUCCAGCAGGCUUCUCUCUUCAGCAGGGCAUGCACUGCGUCCCUUCUCUGAGCUGGACUCGGGGAUCCAGCGGUGAGCACCUGAGAUGCCCCGUACUGUUCCCUGGGAUCUUCAGGUGAGAAGCCGUGGCUGCGGGGGGUCGGCGAAGGGGUGUGUGUGUGUGUGUGUGUGUGUGUGUAUGAGGAGGUGGGGUGCAGACGCCCUCAGUGGGAAAGCUGCAGAGGGAAUUCAAACCAGCCGAGGUCUCUGAAGGUCUGUGCCACCCACCGAGCCCUUGUCCCCUCCCCUGCGACACUCUGAGCUAACCCUGCCUGGGGGCAGGCUGUAGUGUGUGUGUGUGUGUUUGUGUGUGUGUAGGGGGCUUCACAGCCACACACACUUCCUCCCCGAUCCUGAGAUUUCUCCUGCAAGGUUUUAGUGCCCAAAGCUCUCGCCCCGACCCUGUGUGGGUAUUGGGGGUGCUGGGGUCUCUGAGUGUCUGAGUUAGGCUGGGAGAGGGGAGCCGCGGGAAGUUGGGGAUGGAGGCCGUGGCCUUAGUCUCCCUUGCUGCAUCUCUCCCAGGAGCCUCUGCUCCGGCCGCGUGGCCAGGACUCCAGGCCUGGUGCCAGCAGCUGUCAGUGGUUUUCUGGACCUCUGGGUGAUCCUGCCAAGACCUCAGCCUUCCCCAUGCACAGGACGGAGCCUGCUGUGGACGCGAGCCCUCCCUGGCCGACACUCCGCUGAGGACUGAACUGGAUGUCAAGGGCAGCUCAAGGGUACAGCAGGGGCCGCAGCAGCCGCCUGCCUGUCGCAUCUGCUGGGCUCCAGUGUCUGGGGCUGGGGGUCACUUCCUGACCCCGCUUGGACUCGGUUCCUCCUCGGGUCUCU